UGUGUCUAUGAGACUUUCACUAAAUAAUUAAAUUGUGAAACUGAAUUUUCACAAGUGUGGCAGGUGGGUUGGAAAUAGGGCAGAUGAGUUUCAGAUCUCCAUUGUUUGUAAAUGAGGGAACGGCUGUUUUCUAAAUAGUUUGCAUAGUGAGCAGCCAUUUCCUCAUAGCUCAUGUUGUUGCGAGGAAGAUCUGAAGCUACAAAUAUCAAUGGAUCCUCUUCUCCUCAUCUUGGCUUUCUUGGUGAUUGUUUGUCUUUUGAUUAAGAUUUUCUGCUGCAUCACUUCUAUCACACAGUGGAUUUGUCGAUUUCUGUGGUGGCUUUAUCUGGUUUUCUUUAUUGCUGUGGUUAUUACAUUGUGGAACAUCGGAACCUGGAUCAGCCUUUUACAGCAAAGAGUUUAUUGAAAGAAGAUUGUAACAAAGAAUUAACAACAAUUAUUGAAUGACAAUGGAUCGAAUUAUACAACAACGUCUACAAAGUGUGUAUUUUCUCCAUAAAUUGAUUAAUAAGAACCUGGAAGACUUUUGUAUCCCCUUUACCUCCUGGAUUAUGGACACAUUACAGCGGAAUUAAGACAACAUAUGAUCAAAGACAAUGAAUAUCUGACAUCAUGGGUUUAAAAAUGUGGAGACCAAGCCUGGACCUUCACCUCGAGACAGGAGGCUGUUAGAAGAUUUUAUGCACAGGAAAUGGGAAACACAUUUUAUUUUAACAGUUGCUGACAAACACAACAAAAAAUGGAAAAGCCUGAAAUGACCACGGUGGCCCCU